rnacentral:rRNA from 1 species
UACGUAGGGGGCUAGCGUUGUCCGGAUUUAUUGGGCGUAAAGAGCGUGUAGGCGGCCAGAUAGGUCUGCUGUGAAAACUCGAGGCUCAACCUCGAGAUGUCGGCGGAAACCAUUUGGCUAGAGUCCGGAAGAGGAAAGUGGAAUUCCUGGUGUAGCGGUGGAAUGCGCAGAUAUCAGGAGGAACACCGAUGGCGAAGGCAGUUCUCUGGGCCGUAACUGACGCUGAGGAGCGAAAGCGUGGGGAGCGAACAGG